rnacentral:rRNA from 1 species
GACGAACGCUGGCGGCGUGCCUAAUACAUGCAAGUCGAACGCUGAAGGAGGAGCUUGCUUCUCCGGAUGAGUUGCGAACGGGUGAGUAACGCGUAGGUAACCUGCCUGGUAGCGGGGGAUAACUAUUGGAAACGAUAGCUAAUACCGCAUAAGAGUAGAUGUCGCAUGACAUUUGCUUAAAAGGUGCAACUGCACCACUACCAGAUGGACCUGCGUUGUAUUAGCUAGUUGGUGAGGUAACGGCUCACCAAGGCAACGAUACAUAGCCGACCUGAGGGGGUGAUCGGCCACACUGGGACUGAGACACGGCCCAGACUCCUACGGGAGGCAGCAGUAGGGAAUCUUCGGCAAUGGACGGAAGUCUGACCGAGCAACGCCGCGUGAGUGAAGAAGGUUUUCGGAUCGUAAAGCUCUGUUGUAAGAGAAGAACGAGUGUGAGAGUGGAAAGUUCACACUGUGACGGUAUCUUACCAGAAAGGGACGGCUAACUACGUG